rnacentral:misc_RNA from 1 species
UUUCCGUAGGUGAACCUGCGGAAGGAUCAUUACUGAGUGAGGGCCCCUCGGGGUCCAACCUCCCACCCGUGUUUAACGAACCUUGUUGCUUCGGCGGGCCCGCCUCACGGCCGCCGGGGGGCAUCUGCCCCCGGGCCCGCGCCCGCCGAAGACACCUGUGAACGCUGUCUGAAGUAUGCAGUCUGAGACAAUUAUUAAAUUAAUUAAAACUUUCAACAACGGAUCUCUUGGCUCUC